UACGUAGGUGGCAAGCGUUGUCCGGAAUUAUUGGGCGUAAAGCGCCCGCAGGCGGCUGUUCAAGUCUGACGUGAAAUCGCUCGGCUUAACUGGGCGGGGUCGUUGGAAACUGAAUAGCUUGAGGCAAGGAGAGGGGCGUGGAAUUCCCGGUGUAGUGGUGGAAUGCGUAGAUAUCGGGAGGAACAUCAGUGGCGCAAGCGGCGCCCUGGCCUUAGCCUGACGCUCAGGGGCGAAAGCGUGGGGAGCGAACGGG
rnacentral:rRNA from 1 species